CAGGUCCAUAAAUAUUGGGACAUCAACACAAUUCUAAUCUUUUUGGCUCUAUACACCAACACAAUGGAUUUGAAAGGAAAUGAACAAGAUGUGCUUUAACUGCAGACUUAUAGCUUUAAUUUGAGGGUAUUUACAUCCAAAUGAGGUGAACGGUGUAGGAAUUACAACAGUUUGUAUAUGUGCCGCCCACUUUUCAAGGGACCAAAAGUAAUGGGACAAUUGGCUGCUCAGCUGUUCCAUGGCCAGGUGUGCUAUUUGCAUUUGGAAUCCGUUGCUGUCAACUCUCAAUAUGAGAUCCAAAGAGCUGUCACUAUCAUUGAAGCAAGUCAUCAUUAGGCUGAAAAAACAAAACAAACCCAUCAGAGAGAUAGCAAAAACAUUAGGUGUGGCCAAAUCAACUGUUUGGCACAUCCUUAAAAAGAUAGAACGCACCAGUGAGCUCAGCAACACCAAAAGACCCGGAAGACCACAGAAAAC